AAAGAUCGCAGCCUUCGGCAGCUCCUACAGGGUUUUGUGUGCACCUGUAGGAGCUGCCGAAGGCUGCGAUCUUU
rnacentral:misc_RNA from 1 species